UAUUGUUAUAGGCAUUUAAUAUUACGUGGCAUAGUAGUUGGUAAAUAUAUUUUUAGGGGUGAUAGGCUUCUCAAAUUUAUUGAUAGCUUGAUACGUAAUAAAAUUAUUAAGUAUAAAGUCAUACUAUGAAAGUUAAGUUUUAUAGUGAUAAUUAAUUUAGGAAAAAUAAUAUAUUAUAGUUUAAUAGCUAAUUAAUAGUAAUAUAAAUAUUUUUUUCUUAAUUUUUAUUUAAUGCAUUACGUUAUUUUUACUUAAGUAUAUAUUAACAAUGUUAAUAUAAGUAAUAUUUAUAAAUAAAUUAAAGGAACUCGGCAAAUACAUUUUUCAACUGUUUAUCAAAAACAUAACUAUAUGGUCUCAUAUAUAGCUAUUCCUGCUCAAUGAAUUUAAAUAGCCGCAGUACCCUGACUGUGCAAAGGUAGCAUAAUCAGUUGGCUUUUAAUUGGAGUCUAGAAUGAAUGGAUUUUUGGAAAAUAACUUUCUCUUUUUAUUUUUAUGAAAUUAGUUUGUAAGUGAAAAUACUUACAUAUGUAUAAAGGACGAGAAGACCCUAGAAAUUUAGAUAUUAUUUUGUUGGGGCGACAGAAUUACAAAAAACUAAUUUGUUUUUACGUGACGUUUUUACAGAUCGAUUAAAUUACUCUAGGGAUAACAGCAUAAUUUUUAUAGUUUGUGACCUCGAUGUUGGACUAGGAUAUUAAAUGGUUUAGAAGAUCUUUAAUAAUGCUCUGUUCGAGCU
rnacentral:rRNA from 1 species